AGUGCUGUUCUUUAUAUUGCAUGCUAAUUUCCCCCAUGUCUUGCAGAUCAAGGAAGUGCUUGGUUUAACUUCAAAAAGCACGAAGCACAAUAUUUUAAACUAAUGUACCACGAUAUCCAUAUCUGGCUGUGCUGUGGUGGUUGUCAACAUUAGCAUGAAAAGAGUAAAACCUGGCCAGUGAAUCCACAUUCAUAUGAACUCAAGACUGCAAGAGAAUAGAGGUAGAGGAUCUCCUAAUGCAAUGGCCCUGCAGAUCGAUCACAGAUACAGUCGGCUUCUCUCUGUUGCCCAGGCAAAAGUGCCCUUGGACCUGCUUUGGCCACACUGGGACAGGGAAAUCCUGAACCUGAGAGAGGAGAUGACCUGAAGUAAUGAGGAAGAUGGCAAAAGGAAGCCUUUGCGGAGUUUGCAUCUACCUGAAGGAGGACGAUACAGAUUACUUUGAAU
rnacentral:lncRNA from 1 species